rnacentral:rRNA from 1 species
CCUACGGGCGGCAGCAGUGAGGAAUAUUGGUCAAUGGGCUUACGCCUGAACCAGCCAAGUCGCGUGAGGGAAGACUGCCCUAUGGGUUGUAAACCUCUUUUGUCAGGGAGCAACGCCGGCUACGUGUAGCCGGACUGAGAGGACCUGAAGAAAAAGCAGCGGCUAACUCCGUGCCAGCAGCCGCGGUAAUACGGAGGAUGCGAGCGUUAGCCGGAUUGAUGGGGUUUAAAGGGUGCGUAGGCGGAAUGCCAAGUCAGCGGUAAAAUCGCGGGGCUCAACCUCGCUCCGCCGUUGAAACUGGCGUUCUUGCUUGGGCUAGCAUUAUGCGUAAUGCGUGGUGUAGCGGU